rnacentral:rRNA from 1 species
UUCUGGCUCAGGAUGAACGCUGGCGGCGUGCCUAACACAUGCAAGUCGAGCGAGAAACUCAUGAUCGAAACUCGGUUGAUUGAUUGAGCGGAAAGCGGCGGACGGGUGAGUAACGCGUAGGCAACCUGCCCCUUGCAGAGGGAUAGCCUCGGGAAACCGGGAUUAAAACCUCAUAAUGCGUUAAGAAGACAUCUUCAUAACGCCAAAGAUUUAUCGGCAAGGGAUGGGCCUGCGUCUGAUUAGUUAGUUGGUGGGGUAACGGCCUACCAAGGCAGCGAUCAGUAGCCGACCUGAGAGGGUGAUCGGCCACAUUGGAACUGAGACACGGUCCAAACUCCUACGGGAGGCAGCAGUGGGGAAUAUUGCACAAUGGGGGAAACCCUGAAUGCAGCAACGCCGCGUGAAGGAUGAAGGCCCUUGGGUCGUAAACUUCUGUUCUAAGGGAAGAUAAUGACGGUACCUUAGGAGCAAGUCCCGGCUAACUACGUGCCAGCCGCAGC